GGGCUGAGUUCCAUGUUGGUUCUCGCAUUACAAAGUUUCUACGCUUGCAGUUGCUUCCCACUACAUCUGAACGAACUGCUACCACUCCUGGCUCUGAUAAAACUAAUCGCUUCGCUACAGUGUUUGGCACUUUAGAAGGCAGCCUUGGCUGUAUAGCCCCUCUGGAUGAACUUACUUUUCGUAGGCUUCAGUCCCUGCAGAAAAAGCUUGUCACUGCUGUUACCCAUGUUGCUGGAUUAAAUCCAAGAUCUUUCCGCCAGUUCCGUUCAAAUGGAAAAGCUCAUCGGCCUGGUCCAGACAACAUAGUUGACUGUGAGCUGCUAUCCCACUAUGAGAUGCUCCCAUUGGAGGAACAGCUUGAGAUAGCUCAGCAGAUCGGAACCACUCGGAUGCAAAUAAUGUCAAACUUGAAUGACAUGAUCUUGGGUACAAGUUUCUUAUAAUGUAGCUUUAAUGAGGACGGAUAGAUCAGAAACCAAUGUAGCUAAUUUGAAGGAAGUGGGGUACUGAAGCAUUCCAGAAGAAAUCUUUGACCAGUUAAAAGCCUUCAGUAAUCAUCCUCGUAGAAGUAAGGCUGCUUUUAACUCCCAACAAGCUGUUUCCUCACAAAUCAUGAAUCUGAAGAGCGUUGCAGUCAUCAUUCUCGUCAAGAGCAGCGUUGGUUCUCUGUUGUCAUUGAUGGAUGUAUAUGAAUUAGGUGUAUGAAAUCCAGGGUCAUUUAUUAUGUAUUGCUGCUUAAGAUGAAAGGUGAAGCUUGAUCUUCUAUAACCAAUCAUUGCUUAUCUUGUAGAUUAUGUUUAUGAUGCAUAAGUGAUUACACCAUCACCAAAGU
rnacentral:misc_RNA from 1 species